rnacentral:rRNA from 1 species
CUACGUGCCAGCAGCCGCGGUAAUACGGAGGAUGCGAGCGUUAUCCGGAUUUAUUGGGUUUAAAGGGUGCGUAGGCGGCCUGUUAAGUCAGCGGUGAAAUCUAGGAGCUUAACUCCUAAAUUGCCAUUGAUACUGGCGGGCUUGAGUGUAGAUGAGGUAGGCGGAAUGCGUGGUGUAGCGGUGGAAUGCAUAGAUAUCACGCAGAACUCCGAUUGCGAAGGCAGCUUACUAAGGUACAACUGACGCUGAAGCACGGAAGCGUGGGUAUCAAACAGGAUUAGAUACCCUGGUAGUCCACGCAGUAAACGAUGAUAACUGGGCGUAUGCGAUAUACAGUAUGCUCCUAAGCGAAAGCGUUAAGUUAUCCACCUGGGGAGUACGCCGGCAACGGUGAAACUCAAAGGAAUUGACGGGGGCCCGCACAAGCGGAGGAACAUGUGGUUUAAUUCGAUGAUACGCGAGGAACCUUACCCGGGAUUGAA